CUCGGCGUCAUUUGAGCUCCAGACGAUAAGGCGAAGACACGUAUUUCCAAUUUUCUUAAGAAAUUUAAGAUUUAUUGAUUUUAGGCUUGCUCUGAAUUUGAAGAUUUUAAACAUGGACUAUUGGGAAAAUUGUGCGUUGCUGGAUCAUGUUGCCACACUUUCCUCUCUUUAUUUCUUUGGAAGGAUUAUAAUGAAAACUGUUGAAGACUUAUAAAUUAUUCUUUCAAAAAACUUCUGUAGAUUUCAUAGAAAUAUAUUGAUAAAAUGAACAUAAA